rnacentral:rRNA from 1 species
GAUGAACGCUGGCGGCGUGCCUAAUACAUGCAAGUCGAGCGAACAGACGAGGAGCUUGCUCCUCUGACGUUAGCGGCGGACGGGUGAGUAACACGUGGAUAACCUACCUAUAAGACUGGGAUAACUUCGGGAAACCGGAGCUAAUACCGGAUAAUAUAUUGAACCGCAUGGUUCAAUAGUUAAAGACGGUUUUGCUGUCACUUAUAGAUGGAUCCGCGCCGCAUUAGCUAGUUGGUAAGGUAACGGCUUACCAAGGCGACGAUGCGUAGCCGACCUGAGAGGGUGAUCGGCCACACUGGAACUGAGACACGGGCCAGACUCCUACGGGAGGCAGCAGUAGGGAAUCUUCCGCAAUGGGCGAAAGCCUGACGGAGCAACGCCGCGUGAGUGAUGAAGGUCUUCGGAUCGUAAAACUCUGUUAUUAGGGAAGAACAAAUGUGUAAGUAACUAUGCACGUCUUGACGGUACCUAAUCAGAAAGCCACGGCUAACUACGU